rnacentral:lncRNA from 1 species
AUAUUCACAGAGGCGUGACCUAUGACACAGCCGUGCGAACACUAUCCUCAUGAUAUGGAUAAACGAACCGGCAAUCAGAAAGACUCGGCUGUGUAGAUCUGGAUGUCUGUGAAACCAGAAUUAAGAUCUGAAGCAUCCAGGGCAUUACUACGAAUCUUCGGAGGCAUCCAGCUGAGGCUUGCUUUACUCCAAUGCCUUCCUGAGUCCAGCUUCUCUCCUGCAUGGUCUGAACUGCAACCUGGAGAAGCUCUAACCACAGGCGCACUCUUAACCUCCCUAACAAGACAGCCCUGAAGGUCAGCAUCAGAAUUCAAUGCUGGUGUGGAGAGGAGCUGGAAUAUACAGGACACAGGCUGGAAUUUACCAGACCACACUGGAAUCUGGAGUCCCUAGGCAGUAACUGGGAUGAAGCCAUCUGACUCUUUUGAACCAAGCUGGCACCACAGAUCCCAGUGAAUACAUGGUGGUGAUAUGCAUUUGUGGAGAAGCCACCAUAUUUCCUUGGAUGUCUGGGCGACCACUGAUCAGAAAUCGGACUUCUUGCCAACUGGAGAGAGGGCAGGCAUGCAUGCAGAUCCACACAGCACGUGUGGUAAGCCUCACAGUGAGACACACAGGACGCCCUCUGCUGGA